UGCCAGCCGCCGCGGUAACACGGGGGGCGCAAGCGUUAUUCGGAAUUAUUGGGCGUAAAGGGCGCGUAGGCGGAUUGGUUAGUUGGGGGUGAAAUCCCGGAGCUUAACUCCGGAACUGCCUUCAAAACUGCCAGUCUUGAGUCCGAGAGAGGUGAGUGGAAUUCCUAGUGUAGAGGUGAAAUUCGUAGAUAUUAGGAAGAACACCAGUGGCGAAGGCGGCUCACUGGCUCGAUACCGACGCUGAGGUGCGAAAGCGUGGGGGGCAAACAGGAUUAGAUA
rnacentral:rRNA from 1 species